UACGGAGGAGGCAAGCGUUAUCCGGAAUUAUUGGGCGUAAAGCGUCCGCAGGUGGCACUUCAAGUCUGUCGUCAAAGACUGGGGCUUAACCCUGGAAAGGCGGUGGAAACUGAAGCGCUAGAGUGCGGUAGGGGUAGAGGGAAUUCCCGGUGUAGCGGUGAAAUGCGUAGAGAUCGGGAAGAACAUCGGUGGCGAAAGCGGUUGCCUGGAGCUUUGCUGACGCUGAGGCGCGAAAGCGUGGGGAGCGAUCCGG
rnacentral:rRNA from 1 species